rnacentral:piRNA from 1 species
UUCCAACACCAUCUGAUGGUCAAUUGGGUGU